GACGAACGCUGGCGGCGUGCCUAAUACAUGCAAGUCGAGCGGAAUGAUGAAGAAGCUUGCUUCUUCUGAUUUUUAGCGGCGGACGGGUGAGUAACACGUGGGCAACCUACCUUGUAGAUUGGGAUAACUCCGGGAAACCGGGGCUAAUACCGAAUAAUCCAUUUUGCUUCAUGGCGAGAUGUUGAAAGACGGUUUCGGCUGUCACUACAAGAUGGGCCCGCGGCGCAUUAGCUAGUUGGUAGGGUAAUGGCCUACCAAGGCGACGAUACGUAGCCGACCUGAGAGGGUGAUCGGCCACACUGGGACUGAGACACGGCCCGGACUCCUACGGGAGGCAGCAGUAGGGAAUCUUCCACAAUGGACGAAAGUCUGAUGGAGCAACGCCGCGUGAGUGAAGAAGGUUUUCGGAUCGUAAAACUCUGUUGUAAGGGAAGAACACGUACGAGAGUAACUGCUCGUACCUUGACGGUACCUUAUUAGAAAGCCACGGCUAACUACGUG
rnacentral:rRNA from 1 species